rnacentral:rRNA from 1 species
UACGGAGGGUGCAAGCGUUAUCCGGAUUCACUGGGUUUAAAGGGUGCGUAGGCGGGUAAGUAAGUCCGAGGUGAAAUCUCUGAGCUUAACUCAGAAACUGCCGUGGAUACUAUUUGCCUUGAAUAUUGUGGAGGUGAGCGGAAUAUGUCAUGUAGCGGUGAAAUGCUUAGAUAUGACAUAGAACACCAAUUGCGAAGGCAGCUCACUACACAAUCAUUGACGCUGAGGCACGAAAGCGUGGGGAUCAAACAGG